rnacentral:lncRNA from 1 species
GGUGAGCAUGACACGACAGCGGGCAUUCAAGCAGAUGGGACACAUCCUAUGAUGUGGAUUGGAUGCGACGAGAGCAUGCGAGUACGCACUUAAGACGUGACAGAAGAGAAGCCUUAGAGUUUUAAAAGAAAAUAAAUAUUCAUUCUUUUUCUUUAGUUUCACAUCUAAAAACUAUAAAAAUCUCCUUCCUCCUAGCACCUAUAAAAUGGUC